AUGAAGCUCCUAUGUUGGAACAUUAGGGGCUUCGGCAAUUUGGGACGCCAAUGCCAAUUGAUUGAUUACAUCCGGCAAGAAGAUAUCGACAUAGUAGGUCUCCAAGAGACAAUUUUCCAAGACUUCUCCAUCCAAGAACUUCAGGGUUUGUCACGACACUCUUUUGCCUGGCAAUGGUUGCCGGCGACAGGUCUAUCUGGGGCGUUCUCCUGGGGGUCAGGGAGGAUAUUUUCUCCGUCGAGGAUAUGGACCGAGGGGAAUUCUUUCUUAUUAUGGCCAUCACUGACCGACGUGUGA
rnacentral:rRNA from 1 species